rnacentral:lncRNA from 1 species
UCAGGCUAGAGCCAAGAGCUUCUGGUAGCUGCGCGAUAUUAGAACAACAAAAGAAGCUCUAAUAUCUUUCAACUGGAAUACUGGACUAUUGCUAGGAAAAAUGAUCAAAUUGGAGGAAAAUGGAGUAGGUAAACCUACCCAUGCCCAAUAUUUUUGUGAAAAUUAGCAUAUGACAUAAUAAACAAAAAUUCAAAUACUGGAAAAAGUCGUAUAUUUGCCUGACAAUGAGAUCCUGAGGAAGAAUUCAAUCUAAUGCUUCUCUUUUUCAUCUGAUCCUAUAUUCCUGAUAAAUUUUAUUGGGAAGAUGACGUUCAUGUUUGUUGGAAUAUGACUUUUCCAUAACGUAAUUAGAAUACCGCAUGCUGCAUGUAAUGUAAUCUGUUCAAUCUUUUUG